rnacentral:rRNA from 1 species
AAACUAACAAGGAUUCCCCUAGUAACGGCGAGUGAAGAGGGAAGAGCUCAAAUUUGAAAGCUGGUACCUUCGGUAUCCGCGUUGUAACCUCGAGACACGUUUUCCGUGCGGCGCUAUGGACAAGUUCCUUGGAACAGGACAUCGUAGAGGGUGAAAAUCCCGUACUUGCCAUGGAUGUACCGUGCUUUGCGAUACGUGCUCUAAGAGUCGAGUUGUUUGGGAUUGCAGCUCAAAAUGGGUGGUAGACUCCAUCUAAAGCUAAAUAUCGGGGAGAGACCGAUAGCGAACAAGUACCGUGAGGGAAAGAUGAAAAGCACUUUGGAAAGAGAGUUAAAAGUACGUGAAAUUGUCGAAAGGGAAGCGCUUGAAGUCAGCCAUGCCGCUCAGGACUCAGCCUGGCUUUUGCUUGGUGUAUUUCCUGGGUAGCAAGUCAGCAUUGGUUUGGAUCGUCGGAGAAGCAUAGUCGGAAUGUGGCGCCCUCGGGCGUGUUAUAGCCUUCUAUUGGAUACGACGAUCUAGACCAAGGAACGCAGCGCGCCU